GGACACAUUGCGAAGAUCUGUUGGUGGGUGAUUAGUGCUGCUAAUCAGUCGGCAAAGCUUCCACAUGCCUUGGCAGCCCUGACCUUGGAUAACACAAUUACGAACACCGAUUGGACUGCUGACUCAGCAGCUACUGACCAUAUGGCUGCAAAUCAAGGAUCGAAAGACAGGGAAGGUAAUUUUGGAGGGCCCAAAGAAGGAUGAUCUAUAUAUACUUCCUAAUCGGCGUGCAACGACAAAUUUCUCUCAACGAUUUCGAUCGUGCAGUGCUGAUAUAUGGCAUCAAAGGCUUGGACACUCUCAAGCUUCAUCUAUUGUUAAGUUAUCAAAUAAGGGCCUUAUUAGUGUUGAUGGUCCACUUAAAAUUAAUAAGAUUUGUGAUAGUUGCCAAUUAGGCAAAUUUAGCAAGUUUCCUUUUACUACAAGUACAAUUUCUACUACUUCUAUGUUUGAACGGGUUCAUUGUGAUUUAUGGGGUCCUGCACCACUUUUGUCUAUUGCU